rnacentral:rRNA from 1 species
GUGGCGAACGGGUGAGUAACACGUGAGUAACCUGCCCUUGACUCUGGGAUAAGCGUUGGAAACGACGUCUAAUACCGGAUACGAACCGUGGAGGCAUCUCCUGCGGUUGGAAAGAAUUUUGGUCAAGGAUGGACUCGCGGCCUAUCAGCUAGUUGGUGAGGUAACGGCCCACCAAGGCGACGACGGGUAGCCGGCCUGAGAGGGUGACCGGCCACACUGGGACUGAGACACGGCCCAGACUCCUACGGGAGGCAGCAGUGGGGAAUAUUGCACAAUGGGCGAAAGCCUGAUGCAGCAACGCCGCGUGAGGGACGACGGCCUUCGGGUUGUAAACCUCUUUUAGCAGGGAAGAAGCGAAAGUGACGGUACCUGCAGAAAAAGCACCGGCUAACUACGUGCCAGCAGCCGCGGUAAUACGUAGGGUGCAAGCGUUGUCCGGAAUUAUUGGGCGUAAAGAGCUCGUAGGCGGUUUGUCGCGUCUGCUGUGAAAACGCGAGGCUCAACCUCGCGCCUGCAGUGGGUACGGGCAGACUAGAGUGCGGUAGGGGAGAUUGGAAUUCCUGGUGUAGCGGUGGAAUGCGCAGAUAUCAGGAGGAACACCGAUGGCGAAGGCAGAUCUCUGGGCCGUAACUGACGCUGAGGAGCGAAAGCAUGGGGAGCGAACAGGAUUAGAUACCCUGGUA